rnacentral:misc_RNA from 1 species
GUGAAUCAUCAAAUUUUUGAACGCAAGUUGCACUCUCUGGUAUUCCGGAGAGUAUGCCUGUUUGAGGGUCAGUAUAAAUAAAAAUCGAGGUGUUGCUAUGGUUACGCCCUCGGGAUUGGGGCAUCUUUAAUCUUAAAAAAAGUUUAAAGUGACCUAAAAUUGAAUAUACCUCGUUCAUCUCAAGACGGACCUAAAGAUUUUUUUUAUUCGUCCGGGGUUUGGCAAAUCUUUAUUUGGUAUGACCAUUAUCGG